UACGUAGGGGGGCUAGCGUUGUCCGGAAUUAUUGGGCGUAAAGAGCUCGUAGGCGGUUUGUCACGUCUGCUGUGAAAUCCCGAGGCUCAACCUCGGGCCUGCAGUGGGUACGGGCAGACUGGAGUGCGGUAGGGGAGAAUGGAAUUCCUGGUGUAGCGGUGAAAUGCGCAGAUAUCAGGAGGAACACCGGUGGCGAAGGCGGGUCUCUGGGCCGAUACUGACGCUGAGGAGCGAAAGCGUGGGGAGCGAACAGG
rnacentral:rRNA from 1 species